rnacentral:rRNA from 1 species
AUGAAAGACGGGCCUUCAAGCUCAUCUAGUGAGGCUGGAAACAUAAGCAUUUGGGAUAUAAUCUGGAAGUUGGACAUCCCAGAGAGGAUCAAAAUUUUCGGAUGGCGAAUUGCAACAAAUACUUUGGCGAUGAAGAGGAACAAAUUCAGGCGCACUAUUGUGCAUGCCAUUGUUUGUGACAUAUGUGGGAAUGGAGAUAAAGAUGAGUUCCAUGCUGUCAUCUCAUGCACAAAAAGCAUCGCGCUCAAGUUUGAAAUGAGAAAGAAGUGGCGUCUGCCCGAGGAAAAUGAAUUCGGGUAUACAGGGAAGGACUGGUUGCAAAUCUUGCUGGACAAGCAUGAUCCAGACGUGCGAAGGAAAAUUGUGCUGUUGCUGUGGCGCGCAUGGUUUUUGCAUGAUAAUUGUGUGCACAAUGAUGGCAAAGAAUCAGUUUUCAGAUCUAUGCUAUUCUUGGUGCAGUACCAGGAAGAGUUAAGGAAUCCGUCUACACCAAAUGAUGGUCAGGAAAGCAAGAGAGCUUGGUCCCUGUCCCCUAUAAGCCCAACGUUUCCGAGAAACCAACCGAAUCCCGCGGCGAAUGCCCCAUGGGAAGCGCCACCAAUCGGUAGUAAAACUGAACACGGAUGCAGGCUUCCUCUCGGGAUCGGGACAAAGCUGGGCGGGUGUUGUCGCAAGAGACAACAAAGGCCUAGUGUUCUUCUCUGCUAG